rnacentral:rRNA from 1 species
GACAGAGGGUGCAAGCGUUGUUCGGAAUUAUUGGGCGUAAAGGGCGCGUAGGCGGUCUGUUAAGUCGGGUGUGAAAGCCCCGGGCUUACCCCGGGAAGUGCAUUCGAAACUGGCAGGCUGGAGUGCCGGAGAGGGUCGUGGAAUUCCCGGUGUAGAGGUGAAAUUCGUAGAUAUCGGGAGGAACACCAGUGGCGAAGGCGGCGACCUGGACGAGCACUGACGCUGAGGCGCGAAAGCGUGGGGAG